rnacentral:rRNA from 1 species
UUUAAUGGCCGCAGUAUUCUGACUGUGCAAAGGUAGCAUAAUCAUUAGUUUCUUAAUUAGAAACUGGAAUGAAUGGUUGGACGAGAAAAUAACUGUCUCUGUAUAAAUUUUUUAGAAUUUUAUUUUUAAGUUAAAAAGCUUAAAUUUAUUUAAAAGACGAGAAGACCCUAUAGAGUUUUAUAUAUUUUUUAAAAAUAAUAUUUUUAGAAUAUAAUUAGUUAUAUUUUUUUAAAAUAAUAUAUUUAAUUGGGGUGAUUAAAAAAUUUAAUAAACUUUUUUUUUAAUAUAACAUUUAUUUAUGAAUUAUUGAUCCAUUAAAAUGAUUAUAAGAUUAAAUUACCUUAGGGAUAACAGCGUAAUUUCUUUGAAGAGUUCAAAUCGAUAAAGGAGUUUGCGACCUCGAUGUUGGAUUAAAAUUUAAUUUUGGUGUAGAAGCUAAAAAAUUUAGGUCUGUUCGACCUUUAAAAUUUUACAUGAUCUGAGUUUAAACCGGUGUGAGCCAGGUUGGUUUCUAUCUUUAAAAAAUUUUAAUAUUUUAGUACGAAAGGACCAAAUAUUAGUAAAAUUUUAUUUUAUUAUGAUUAUUAUUAAUUA